UCCGGUGACUCUGGCGAAGGGGAAACACCCGUUCCCAUUCCGAACACGGCAGUUAAGCCCUUCAGCGCCGAUGGUACUGCAUGCGUAAGUGUGUGGGAGAGUAGGUCGUUGCCGGGG
rnacentral:rRNA from 1 species